AAUCAUAAUUCUUGUCCUGGGACAUUAGUAAAAUUUUUCCACAGUUUGUCAUCCCCCACUGAGUCUCUGUUAGGAAGUAUAGGAAGGCGACAUUGUCAAGGACCCAUCAUAUUCCUUCCUCACUACCUGGGAAGCAAAAGCAUGUUCACCCUUUUUCUGUGGAUGGAAAAGUUGUGCCAAAGGGGAACAUUUGCAGCAAGUGCAAGAGAACAGCUUGUGUAACAUAGCUACUUCCAGCUGAGACAAGUUCAAUGGGGUUCCUACCACCCGGAGAGGUGCAAAGAUCCCUUUCUGUUCCUCUGCAACAGCUGCUUUCUGCAAAUGCCAAGGAGUUCCAGGUUGCAGAUAGCAAUAUAUGUGGUGAGCCAUACCAGCAGAUGACAUAUAUGCUUGAAGUCCUCCUUAAGCACCUAGUUUCUAUUUAGCCAGCACCUUCUAUCCAUUCCACAUCUUGCUUUCUAGGUUGUUUUCUGGGAAGAUAAAUGGGGUAAGCAUUUCUGCUCCUGAUGCUGCAAAACUCAAUCACAGACGGAAGCUAAUAUAAGAGAGUAAGGCAGAAGUUAAAUAUAGGUUGAAGAAAAACAAAGAAAACAGAGAUGUAAGUAUUUGCCCUUUAAACCUCAGCACAUGUAUAUGUGGUUAAUUAUUAAUUAUUGAUAUGGUUUAUUGAUGUAUUGAUGUAUUGAUUUGUGCCACCUGGAGGACAGAUCCCAUUGUUCUGAACAAUGUAUAAACCCAUGGCUGUACCUGAAGAGUUUGCAGAGAUUUUCCAAGGAGAAGAGCAGAUGCUGGAACACUGACAAAUUUGAAUGCUUAGAGUAUCUGAGUUUUCCCUCCACACUAUGAGCAGAAUAAAAAAAAAAAAAAAUCAAGCUUUUGAA